rnacentral:rRNA from 1 species
AGAGUUUGAUCAUGGCUCAGGACGAACGCUGGCGGCGUGCUUAACACAUGCAAGUCGAACGGCAUCCAUCCAGUGGCAACACUGGUGAAGAUGCAGUGGCGAACGGGUGAGUAACACGUGAGCAACCUGCCUCGAAGACCGGGAUAACAGCGGGAAACCGCUGCUAAUACCGGAUACCCCCACCGGGCCGCAUGACCUGGUGAGGAAAUGAAUUUCGCUUCGAGAGGGGCUCGCGGGCUAUCAGCUUGUUGGUGGGGUAACGGCCCACCAAGGCUACGACGGCUAGCUGGUCUGAGAGGACGACCAGCCACACUGGGACUGAGACACGGCCCAGACUCCUACGGGAGGCAGCAGUGGGGAAUCUUGCGCAAUGGGCGAAAGCCUGACGCAGCAACGCCGCGUGCGGGAUGACGGCCUUCGGGUUGUAAACCGCUUUCAGCAGGGACGAAAUUGACGGUACCUGCAGAAGAAGCCCCGGCCAACUACGUGCCAGCAGCCGCGGUAAUACGUAGGGGGCGAGCGUUGUCCGGAUUCAUUGGGCGUAAAGCGCUUUAAGGCGGUUCGCUAAGUCGGGUGUGAAACCUCCAGGCUCAACCUGGAGACGCCACUCGAUACUGGCGUGACUAGAGUUCGGUAGGGGACCACGGAAUUCCUGGUGUAGCGGUGAAAUGCGCAGAUAUCAGGAGGAACACCAGUGGCGAAGGCGGUGGUCUGGGCCGAUACUGACGCUGUAGAGCGAAAGCGUGGGGAGCGAACAGGAUUAGAUACCCUAGUAGUCC